AGAAUUCCGGACGAUGCAAAAAGUUCAAAAACCCAGUAAUUCUGUGGAUAUUAUGUUGUACUGAGGACAGUACUGGGCACGGAUCGACGAAAUUGAACUGACAUGCAACAAAAUUACACGCAAUAUCGGAGAAACGUGUUAUGUGUCCGUAGGUCCGUGGCGCUCGUGGCCUUCGUGGCGGUGCACAGUGAACGGAAGGUUAGGUGCGCUGGGUGCAGUUACGUGUGAUUGGUGUGCUCGGCAAGAAUGGCAGGGGGCAGUGUUAAAGAGGUUGACGUAGAUAGUAUUUCAAGAAGAAGACUGUCAAAAACUGGACUAAUUUUAAUCAGUUUAAGUGGUGGAGCUGCUGUUACGCUCAGUGUAAUAUGUCUGCCCUUUGUUUCACCAGCCCUACGUCGCUUUUGCCUUCCGUAUGUGCCAGCAACAGCAACACAGAUUAAAAAUGUUAUGUCUGCUCUGGCUGGCCGAUCAGGGAGACUCAUUGAUUUAGGCAGUGGAGAUGGGAGGAUUGUACUUACUGCUGCAAAGGCUGGUUUUGUUGCUGAUGGUGUGGAAUUAAAUCCAUGGCUUGUGGCUUACUCCAAAUUUCAAGCUUUCCGGCUGGGGUUCUGCAAUUGUGCAAGGUUCUACUGUCAGGACCUGUGGAAGUUCAACCUGAAGCCUUACCCAAAUAUUGUUAUAUUUGGUGUACAGGAGAUGAUGCCACAGCUGGAAAUGAAACUUGAAAAAGAGUUAUGUAAUGAUGUACAUGUGGUAGCAUGUAGAUUUCCAUUCCCAACGUGGACACCUGAUGCCACUCUUGGUGCAGGGAUGGACACUGUUUGGGUGUACAAGAAUCCUCUAAGAAUAAACGUUAAUUCUGUAGGACAUCUAGCAAGUUAAAUGCUCUGAGAAACUGGGGACCAUCAAAUAGUACUACCAUCUAAAGAAAUUUCUCUCAGGUGUAGCAGAAUAUGCGUCUUUGAAGGCAAUAAUCGACAUGGUGAUGCAGUGUUAAAAUGCUCCUGGAAGCAACCGUCUGUGUAUUGAUAUAGUUAGGAGUGUGACUAAUUGGUAGGUACAUUCAGAAUGUGAAGAGAACUUUACCUGCAUCGAGUUGUCAGACUAUCAUAUAUAAGAUUUUUACUAACAGAAACUAUGUUAUGUAGAUGAUAACCUUUUUGACAAACCUUAAAAUAUUUUUUGAAGAUA